CACGUAGGGCGCAAGCGUUGUCCGGAAUUAUUGGGCGUAAAGAGCUCGUAGGCGGUCUGUUGCGUCUGCUGUGAAAACUCGGGGCUUAACCCCGAGCCUGCAGUGGAUACGGGCAGACUAGAGGUAGGUAGGGGAGAAUGGAAUUCCCGGUGUAGCGGUGAAAUGCGCAGAUAUCGGGAGGAACACCGGUGGCGAAGGCGGGUCUCUGGGCCGAUACUGACGCUGAGGAGCGAAAGCGUGGGGAGCGAACAGG
rnacentral:rRNA from 1 species